rnacentral:rRNA from 1 species
ACUCAAAUGAAUUGACGGGGGCCCGCACAAGCGGUGGAGCAUGUGGUUUAAUUCGAUGCAACGCGAAGAACCUUACCUGGUCUUGACAUCCACAGAACUUUCCAGAGAUGGAUUGGUGCCUUCGGGAACUGUGAGACAGGUGCUGCAUGGCUGUCGUCAGCUCGUGUUGUGAAAUGUUGGGUUAAGUCCCGCAACGAGCGCAACCCUUAUCCUUUGUUGCCAGCGGUUAGGCCGGGAACUCAAAGGAGACUGCCAGUGAUAAACUGGAGGAAGGUGGGGAUGACGUCAAGUCAUCAUGGCCCUUACGACCAGGGCUACACACGUGCUACAAUGGCGCAUACAAAGAGAAGCGACCUCGCGAGAGCAAGCGGACCUCAUAAAGUGCGUCGUAGUCCGGAUUGGAGUCUGCAACUCGACUCCAUGAAGUCGGAAUCGCUAGUAAUCGUAGAUCAGAAUGCUACGGUGAAUACGUUCCCGGGCCUUGUACACACCGCCCGU